AUGCAGCCUAUAAUCCCUAUAAUCCGUACUUCAUGCUUCUUACAUCGUGAAACGAAAAACGGGGCGAAAUGGGCAUGGGCGAAACAAAUGGUUGCUAAUUUCUACUUUUAUUCCUGUGAUUUCAAAUACCAAAUUGAACUUCGUAUUUUAUAUUCAUACUGUCAGAGUCAGACUGUCAGUCAUUCCAACAACUGAACAAGUUUACUUAGCCGCUCAGUCACUUUCCAUCCAUUAGAUCUUCAUGCUGUCAAAAGCCUAAAACUCAUCUUUGAAGCACACAUAUUGUGCUUGUUUAUAGUGGAAUAAAAAGGUGCCGAGAUAAGCCAUAGGAUCUUUUCUGAAUCUCGCAGUUUGGUGGUGUAACCUGCAACAGCAUGUUUGUUGUUAUGGCUGUUUCUACUUCUGUUUAAGAGGCAACCCAGCUGAGGCUGAGGGAUAGAUCUGCAAACACGAAGGUUAUGAAUUUCGUUCUUGUGUUCAAUGGUGCUGGUUGCAGCUACUGGCCUUUUGCGACGUCUUGAUAUCAGUUUGGAAUAAUAGCUGGACUCUGGGGAAUCCUCACUCACACUUGAGUUAAUUAAGGCGUCGUGCUGCUGUACUACUUACUAGUAGUUACCAACGGCAUUCCUCUCUUAUUAUAAUCAGUUUGAAUCACUCCAGAUUAUUACACCAAACUUAUGCUGCCCCAAGUUAAUACACCAAAUCCCCGAAGUAUUAUUCGUCCCCGAGCUACGCUACCAAGGGGUCAAGUACUACACCGAGGCUCUGAAGUACUACAUAAUCAAGGCACCGGAGUACUACACAACUACGUAUGCUGCCCCAGCUUACUACACCGAGGCUCCCAAGUACUACACCACCAUGGCACUGUUGUACUGCACAACUACAUAUCAUGGUCGUAUAUAAUGGGAAAUAAAUCAGUCGAGUGUGCAUCUCCGAUACGGCAACAGCAACUGCAGUGCUAAGGCUCAGACUAUUACACCACUACUUAUGUUGCCCCGAAAUACUACACCAAAGCGCCUGAGUACUAUACCGAGGCCACUAAUUACUACACCACCAAGGCACCGCAGUACUACAUCACUACACAUCAUGGUCGUAUUAAAGGAGAGAAAAGGUGACGAGUGAGCAACUCCGUUACAGCAACUGCCAUGCACUAUUCAUUCUUGAAUAGUCACCAAUUUCAUUCUUCGUCGCAUUACAAGUUUUAAUAAAGUAAACUAUGGUGUCGUGCUGAAGUUGGGUGUCGUAUCGUUGAUGGCUGGGUCGACCACUGGUGUACCGAUGUUUCCUGGGUAUGGCGGGUACCAAAGCACAACACUGCCGUGCCGUGCAUCCGGUAACAUGAUUGGAUGGCGCGAUGAAGUGGCAUAUUGUACAUUGCUGGUGAGAUUUUGGUAAAAUGUUAUUGUUGCUUUGUUGUUUUGCAUUCACAAAUUAUCUUGAAUUGUUUCACGAGGGUAUUAUGUAAAGGUUGAAAAGAGAAUUACCACAUAAAAAAAAAACAGAUAAGAGAUUAAAUAUGAAAAGUUGAAAAAUACAGUUAUUUAUGCAUAUUA
rnacentral:lncRNA from 1 species